rnacentral:rRNA from 1 species
AGACCUGUAUGAANGNAAAUGAGGGNCUAACUGUCUCUUAUAGUCAAUCUAUUAAACUGAUCCCCUAGUAAAAAAGCUAGGAUNNCAACAUAAGACCAGAAGACCCUGUGAAGCUUAAACUAAACUAUUAAACCACAUAAUAACUACUUUCGGUUGGGGCGACCUUGGAAAAAAAAAGAACUUCCAAAUAUAUGACCUUCAUCAMACUAAAGGCACACAAGCCAACAAACGACCCAGCACAGCUGACCAAUGAACCAAGUUACUCCAGGGAUAACAGCGCAAUCCUCUUCAAGAGCCCAUAUCAAAAAGAGGGUUUACGACCUCGAUGUUGGAUCAGGACACCCAAA